UACGAAGGGGGCUAGCGUUGUUCGGAAUUACUGGGCGUAAAGCGCACGUAGGCGGACUACUAAGUCAGGGGUGAAAUCCCGGGGCUCAACCCCGGAACUGCCUUUGAUACUGGUAGUCUCGAGUCCGGAAGAGGUGAGUGGAAUUCCGAGUGUAGAGGUGAAAUUCGUAGAUAUUCGGAAGAACACCAGUGGCGAAGGCGACUUACUGGACACAUAUUGACGCUGAGGUGCGAAAGCGUGGGGAGCAAACAGG
rnacentral:rRNA from 1 species